AUGGCGACCGGCGCACGGGUGAGUAACACGUAUCCAACCUGCCGAUAACUCGGGGAUAGCCUUUCGAAAGAAAGAUUAAUACCCGAUGGCAUAAUAGAACCGCAUGGUUUGAUUAUUAAAGAAUUUCGGUUAUCGAUGGGGAUGCGUUCCAUUAGGCAGUUGGCGGGGUAAGGGCCCACCAAGCCGGCGAUGUCUAGGGGUUCUGAGAGGAAGGUCCCCCACACUGGAACUGAGACACGGUCCAG
rnacentral:rRNA from 1 species